rnacentral:lncRNA from 1 species
CCCACACUCAUAUGUUUUAUUUAUAUAUUUAUUUAUUUUUGGCACCAGGGAUUGAACUCAGGUCCUUGUGCUUGCGCAGCAGGUGGUGAAACCACUGAACUAAAUCCCCAGCCCUCAUAUAUUUAAGUGUACACACACAUACACAUGCACGCACACCCCACACAUGCACACACUUGCUAACAUGUGCAAAUACACAUCGCCCGGUAUACACAUAGACCUAAGUGUGCAGCUCACAUGUGCACACAAUCACACACACACACUCCCAGCAAGCAGUUCAUAAAUUUUGGGAGUGCUGCUGAAGAUUUUUGGCUAUGAGGAUGGGUUACAUUACACAGAGGACAGCUCCCCCAUCUUACAGCUUCCUCUACCUACUUUCUCUGUCUUGCCUUUCUAGUCCUUCUUUUCCUCCAGCACUACCACCUUCCCCUGUGGCCCCAACAUUUCUAUCCCUCUGUUUUGUAGAGCCAUUCUGCUGCCCACUCUGGAGCUGGAGAAGGCCAAACUGCACCUGCAGAUCUCAGCCAACCAAGGAGGUCUUUCCCAGAGUCAUGGGACUCAAGUUUGUCCAUUUUGUCUCAAACAUCAUUAGGAAUGGAUGUAACAGAAAAGCAUCUUGUCAGCUCCUGUUUACUACCCAAGCCUGCCACAUUGAGCCUCUACUCAGUGCCGGCACUGGGCCAGGCCUUGCAGCCACAGAGACAGUAAAGCACCACAGUCUAAAGCCAAAAAACAGACACGUAAACAAAUAGUGAUGCAUGAAGGUACCAGGGAUCGAACUUGGGUCCUUGCACUUGCAAGGCAGGCAGCGGAACCACUGAGCUAAAUCCCCGGCCAAAUGCUUAAAUUUUUAAAAAUUGUAUUACAGUAAAAGACACAUUGCCACUAUUCUUCCCUUAAAAUUCUCUCUCUCCUUUUUUUUUUAUUUGGUACCCGGGAUCGAACUUGGGUCCUUGUGCUUGUGCAGCAGGCGGCGAAACCACUGAGCUAAAUCCCCAGCCCCUCUCUCUCCUUUUGAACGCACUUCUCCCUUU